AGGAUAGGUUGCCGACGCCCACUUUUGCAGAGGCAGGAUGCAAUUGCCUUGUGGGCAACCCCCAGCCCUGGGCAGCAGCUGGUGAAGUGCCUGUGCACUGAAAGCCUGCUCACAUCAGUGCCGUGCUGUCAGAGAAGGGGGACUACACUGCAGGGACAAAUGUGGCCCCUGGCAGGGCGUGGUGACACCAAGACCCGUGCAAUAAGAAAUGGAAUGGGGGGGGUCUGUGUGUAAAUAAUUUACUAGUGUGACCUGAAUGCUAUCAGGCCCUUGUUUAUUUUUAUGAAGUUACUAAAGAACCAUGCUGAUUCUGAAACAAGUUUGGGGGACCAGAGAAGUGACAUAGAACAAAGGCAUCUGUCCCUGGUGUGUAGCAAGGCAGCUGGGCUGGGAAGGGACAGAUGCUUCUGAAUUUCCAACUUUUCCUGCAUACCUUUGUGGAGAAACCAGAGAGAAAUGCCACACAUUCUACAGGUGGCUGCAUCAGAAAGGUCUCCUGCAUGUGGCUGGUCCAACUGGAUAACAGGUCCAACAGUAACGCAUAGCAGCAGGAAACUCUUCUCGUUCAAUGGUUGCCUGUUGUCCUGUGUGAAAUGAGAGUUCAGCCAGUGCUGCUUUGUUUAUCUGUGGAUGGACACUUGCUAUCUCCAGGCCUACAGAGUGAGCGUUGUUAGACAUAUUAAAAUUAUUUUUAAGAAGUCUUCUGACACUAAAGUUCAGUACCUUUCAGUCUGUGUACACUGAUCUGAGAAAUCAUGCCCACUAAUGGUUACAGAAGUCAGCAGAUGGUUGGCCCACCAGUACAAUGCCAGGAUGCUGGGCAAACUUGUGCCCCUCCUCCCAAGUUCACAUGUGUUUGAGAUGUGCAGCUCAAAGAUGACCAGUCUGUUACCUCUGAUAUUGUCAAUGGAUAAAAAUCCUACAGGUUCAAGA